UACGGAGGGAGCUAGCGUUAUUCGGAAUUACUGGGCGUAAAGCGCACGUAGGCGGCUUUGUAAGUUAGAGGUGAAAGCCUGGAGCUCAACUCCAGAAUUGCCUUUAAGACUGCAUCGCUUGAAUCCAGGAGAGGUGAGUGGAAUUCCGAGUGUAGAGGUGAAAUUCGUAGAUAUUCGGAAGAACACCAGUGGCGAAGGCGGCUCACUGGAGCUGGUAUUGACGCUGAGGUGGCGAAAGCGUGGGGAGCAAACACGG
rnacentral:rRNA from 1 species